AGCGAACGCUGGCGGCAGGCUUAACACAUGCAAGUCGAGCGGGCAUAGCAAUAUGUCAGCGGCAGACGGGUGAGUAACGCGUGGGAACGUACCUUUUGGUUCGGAACAACUGAGGGAAACUUCAGCUAAUACCGGAUAAGCCCUUGCGGGGAAAGAUUUAUCGCCGAAAGAUCGGCCCGCGUCUGAUUAGCUAGUUGGUGAGGUAAUGGCUCACCAAGGCGACGAUCAGUAGCUGGUCUGAGAGGAUGAUCAGCCACAUUGGGACUGAGACACGGCCCAAACUCCUACGGGAGGCAGCAGUGGGGAAUAUUGGACAAUGGGCGCAAGCCUGAUCCAGCCAUGCCGCGUGAGUGAUGAAGGCCCUAGGGUUGUAAAGCUCUUUUGUGCGGGAAGAUAAUGACGGUACCGCAAGAAUAAGCCCCGGCUAACUUCGUG
rnacentral:rRNA from 1 species